rnacentral:lncRNA from 1 species
GUCCACCAGGUCUAUGACCCCUGUGUUAUUGCUGUACCAAUCCACCAGGUCUAUGACCCCUGUGUUAUUGCUGUACCAGUCCACCAGGUCUAUGACCCCUGUGUUAUUGCUGUACCAAUCCACCAGGUCUAUGACCCCUGUGUUAUUGCUGUACCAGUCCACCAGGUCUAUGACCCCUGUGUUAUUGCUGUACCAAUCCACCAGGUCUAUGACCCAGCCCUUUAUAAUGGUAGAAAGGCUCCACUUUCUUCAGAUGGGAAUCUGUUUUUUUCAACCUGACCAAAUUCACAUAGAAAUGUGAGUUAUAGAUCAGUCAUUCUCAUCGAAAGCCAGUCUUAAGAAGCGGUAGAUCUGUUCUUAUUUCUAUGCUUCCCGUUCUUUUUAUGUUUUGUUUUUUUGCGUCUUUUACUUUCGGUUUUGUACACCAACUUCAAACAGCUGAAAAUACAAUAUUUUUGGGGGUUUAUUGAAGAGAUAUUCCACAGCAGUUUAGAUGGUACAAGGAUUCUCUACUCUAUACUGUCACGUCCUGACCAGUAAUAGGGGUUAUUUGCUAUUGUAGUUUGGUCAGGACGUGGCAGAAGGGUAUUUGUUUUAUGUGGUUCGGGGUGGUGGUUUGUUUAGUAGGGUAUUUGAUUUAUGUAAACCCGGGGGUGUUUUUGGGCACUGUUCUAUGUUAGUGUAUUUCUAUGUUCUGUCUAGUCUUUUGUAUUUCUAAUGUUUUGUUAAUUGGGGUGUUGGACUCUCAAUUGGAGGCAGGUUGUUUUCUAGUUGCCUCCGAUUGAGAGUCCUAUAUAUAUAUGUGUGUGUUUGUUGAGUGCUUGGUGGGAGAUUGUUCUGUGUAUAGCCUUGUGCCUUACCAACCUGUGAAUAGUCGUUGUGGUUUCUUUGUGUACGUGUUUAUUUUGGGUCUCCUUCUUGUCCGAUUUUAAAAUAAAAGCUGCAUUUUGUUCUAAAUCCGACAACAACCGUUACAGAUACAUUUUUUUUUUUGUUUCGUCACAAACAAAAAAAAAAAAAAACUGAAAAAGAGGUGAAAUAUUAGAAUUUUAAAUACUUAGGAAACGACGGAGCAAUUUCUGCAUUAUUGCAACCUUUGUUAAUGAUAAAGGUCAGGAGUGGUCACCUGUGUUGGGAG